CAUGGAGAGAGGCCGCCCUAACCACCACUCAUCGCGUCCAACACUCGGACGUGAUUCUGUAACUGCUUCAAUGUGGCGAGGACAAACCCAACAUCCCUCGUCUGGUGGAGCGAAGCCGUCCUUCCUCCCGCCGCCACACAGCUGACGCUCUCUCCAGGUGGAUAUUAAUUCGUACUUCGCAGUGAUGUGUCUGUUAAUAAGAUGCAGCGUUUGAUAGAGCAGUAACUGUGCUGAACUCCUGAACCUAAUGGUAAAAGUGUGAUUGGUCCAGUGCCACACCCAUCGCCUCAACAGUGAGCUCCUAGUUUUUCUAGUAACAAGGAGUCGCUUGUGGAUACUGGAUUGAGAGGAAAGAAGGGUAAAUGUACCGUGAAGAGAGUUUUUGCAAACUGGCUUGAAGAGUUUCCUGAGAUGAGCCUGGUGAGGAACGGUGCAAAAGCUGCAAGGCAUUUAAGUACUCUAACUCGGAGAACUGCUUCCCACGGUUCAUCAGCACAUUGAGGAUCUCCUACAGGGGAAAAAAAUAGAACUCAUCAAUAUGUUGGCAAUGAGAGGUCCCAGUCCUUCAAAAAUGUACUGCAAGAAAGAAGGGAUUUUGAACACAUCUCACUCCUGUGGAAUAAGUUUGGUGCUUGCUACAUUCAUUAUGAGGUGUGACCCCAGAUGUCUGUCUGCCCUGUCAACACCCAUUGAGCUGGAGGAAGAUUUCACCAUUCUGCUGCUGCCAUGUCCCUCACCCCACCCAACUUCCCAUAUCUUAAGAAUAAGUGUGUCAGACUAUAUAGUGUUGCUAGCUGUGAUGCUGGUACAUAUAGCUGCAGUGUUCCAAGUCCCAGACUCCCUAACUCAGAUACUGUAUUUAUUUAUUUAUUUUUUUUUUUUAUAAAAAUUUUAAUUUUCAAUAAAUGUGUACACUUCUCCUGGAGAGUCUUCUUAGUAUCUUUAAAUCUAAAUUCUGAAGUGCUUGCAGUGUAAAAAAAUGUUAAAAUGGGGGGAUGACUGGCUUGGAAGGUAGCUUGUGCUUGGAAGUUCCACAGUAGCCUACCUUGUAUCUAUCUUUCUUCAUGCAGAUAUGUGGAAAUUUGUUGCCAGUAUGUCUAUUUUGCUCCAAAACUAUGCAACAUAGGCAGAGAAGGAAAUAUACAAACUCUUUGAAUGAGAGUUCCUUAAGAAUAAUGCAACAAAACAAAACAAAUUAUUGGUUUCAAGAAUGUGUGUAUAAAAAUGGUGCCAUGACAUCCCUGCACCAAUGCUUCAUGAUCACAAGAAGACAACAGAAAACAGAUGUCAGGCCAACACUUUCUUGACACCUGUCAUUUGGUUUAUUUCUUUUUGUUUAAAAAAUUGAUUUUCUCAAGCAACUUAAGUUUCAAAUAAUUCUUGGUUUGUAUUAUGUAUAUUUCCUUCUAUGCCUAUGUUGCUCAUGGAAAGUUUUAUAGUUUUGGAGCAAGUAGCCAUACUGGCAACAAAUUUUCCACAUCUCACGAAGAAAGGUAGGAUACAAGCAUUAUUCUUCGGCAACUCUCACUCAGUUUGUAUAUUUUCUUCUCUGCCUAUGCUGCUAACAAAGUCUAUAGUUUUGAUCCUAUUUUGAGGUAAAGUAGGCAAUGACAUUACAAUUACCAUAGAAUAUCCCUGUAACAAUCUAUAUGUACAACAAAGAUUUUGCCCUGCUUUGAAAAGAGUUUGUUGGAACUUCCAAGCCAUUUCAGUAGAGUACUUUAAUGCAAAUGUGUCUUUGUAUGACUUCACUUCAACCUGAACUUAUGUACAUAGUUCAACCUGUAGAAACAAUUAAAUUAGCAAACCACAGGUACA